CCAGAGCGCGACCCUAGCCGCGUCCUCGCCUCCUCCUCCAUCCGCGCCGCCUCCUCGCCUCCUCCUCCAUCCGCGCGCCGCCUCCUCCAUUCGCGCGCCUCGGCGGCGACCCCAUGGCGGGCGGCCGGGUCGGAGCGGUCCCCCGCGUCCCUCCUUCCCCGCUCAGCGCUCUCUAGCCGUCGCGCAGCAACUCCUCUCGUCUCCUUCUCUCGCUUCAGCCGCCGCCGCUAGCAGCUCCGCCUCCCCGCCUGGCAGCGGCCAGAGAAGAGCUGCUUCGCCUCCCCACCUCACCCCCCGCUCCUCUCCACCCCGUAGCCGCCUCCCUAGCUCCUCGUCCCCUUCACCAGUCCAUCCCUCCUCAUCCCAAAUCCAGCGGAUCAGAGGCGUGCGGACGCAGAGGCGAAUUUCUCCAGCGGCGAUGGCAACCUGCAAGCAAAGGGCGGUGGCGGCGGCGCUCGAUUUGAUCUGCAGGAGAGAGAGAUGGAGAGGAGGGACGCCGCCAUGGGAGAGCAGGGCCAACAUGGUCUUCAUGGUGGGCAUGGAGGAGCAGAGGAGGAUGGCGGUGGGCGGUGGGAGCAGAGUAGCAGGACUUCCUGGCGGCGCUCGCGUCAUGGUGGAGUGGAGGACUCGUCGUCCAUCAUCGCCAUCCCCAAUCUAGAUCUGAGCUAGAAAAGAAGAGAAAUAAUCUUGUGGAAUUUCAGAUCUGAGAUAGGAACGGGGAGAAAUAUCUUAUGAAAGAGCUUGACGAAAAAGGAAGGGGUGAAUCAUCUCUUUCUCACGUUCAUGUUUUUUUCUGCAUUUUAAUUUUUAAGAUGCAGGUUGGCCAAUUGUAACAAUAGAAAUAUAUGCGCAUUUUUUGUUUGUGUACUUCAAUAAAAAUAUAUUUUCACUUGACCUAGAGGGAGGUUGCAUCCAGUUAUUAUUUCUGGGAGAUUUAUUGAUGAAGGUCUAAACAUGUUAAGAUAUAUUGAUGAGAUAUCACUCAUGAAGGAAUGCUCAAGGGCAUAAGAUCUAAUGUCCUUCAUAUUAUAUAGCCAUCUGGUAUAAAUUGCUAGAGUAGAUAAGAAACAGAUUUCCAACAUAAUAAACAGCUCACAUUCCUUGGUAUUAGCAUAUGGUUCUGACAAAAAUAUGUGCUUACUGAAACAUAACGUGCUCUCCCCUGACGACCGGCGCAUGAGAGAGAAAGAGGAGAGGGAGGUGUGGCGACGGACGGGAGAGGGUCGACCUCACGGUCGGUGGCGGCUUGAUCUGAGAGGAAGACGAGAGGGAGGUGUGGCGGCGGAUGGGAGAGGGCCGACCUCGCGGUCAGUGGGGGCUCGAUCUCUACAAGAAAGAAGGGGUUUGAACUCCUCCCAUGUGAGCAUGAGAGGGUGAGAAGAACAGAGCUGGAGGCAGGACCGCGAUGCCAGAGCUCUAGGCGUCGCUCGCGUUGUCGUGGAGUGGAGAAGCGUCGCCGGCCAUGACUGAUGGUCGUUGCUCACCGGUCGUCGUCCCCUGUCCCCAAUCCAGAUCUGAGAAAGAAAGAGGAGAGGAAGAAUCCUGAGGAAGAGUUUGAUGAAGGUUUUGUCUAUCAAGAACUACAUAUGCUCGACAUGGUGUCAUGGUAUCUAUAGUUGUUGUGGAGCCUGCUGGUAUUCUCACCUUCCACUGCCUCUUUCCCCUCUCUGUGCCUCUGCGAGCUACAUUGGAAGAAUCCAUGUAUUUAGUUGUGGCAUGUUUGGCAGCUACAGCAGCUUGAUAAUUAAUUAUUUCUCAUCCAAGGGGGAUUUAUUCACAAGGCUUAUCUUGUGGUGUGUCGGCAGCGCGACUGUACGCCACUGUUACUAGCCCGUCGCCAAGCUCAUGAUGCUGGUGUGCUCCGCCCAAGUGUCUGAUCUAGGGGCCAAUUGGAAGGACAGGUUUUCUUCUUCACUGUUACCAGACUUCAAAUGUACUAUCUAGCAGACUAGCACGUGUGCAUAUGAUGACUCCUUUUAUCUUUGAUGAAGGUAUUGGGAUUUCUUUAGGGGAAAUGGUAACAAUGGUGUUUGAAAUGGUGCUUCUCAAUUAUAGGUGGAAAGCCUGGCAUGGAGGCACAUAGGCUUGCUGAUUAUGUUUCUGGAUUGGCCCUUGAGAAGGAGACCAAAGCAAACUUCAGCAGGUAUCAGGUAUCUAAGAAUGCUGAUGAUUACACUCGGAGCAAGCCUUGUCGCGGCGCUGCAAGUGUUGCCCCCCUCCUCAAGGGCAAGGUGAAGGAAGGUGCCUGUGUGGUUCUUCUGCAGCUCGCAGCGAGGAUUGCUGUGUCCCUGCACAAGAAUGCCAAGUCCUCAGAGACGAUUAAGGACAUGUACAUGCACUACAACGAGAGAUCUGGGCUGCUUCUUUGUGGCUUCCAAACUUGAAAUGUUUAUCUGGAAGUUAGUUUAGUUUUUUUUUGUGGAUUCAUGGCUUCUUACAUGUACCAUCCUCUUAGACCUUUAGGUUUCCAAAGAAACUAAAUAAAGAUAUGGUGGUAUGGUCUCAAUAGUACAACUUAGCAUUUCAUGUUUUAUAUUUUCUCUGAAAUUUGCUCUUGAACAAUAAUUGUAUCUAUGUUAGAUCCGGUAAGAAAAGGCGGCUUCCAAGUAGAGGAUGCGGGAGUGUUGGUCA